GAUGAACGCUGGCGGCGUGCCUAAUACAUGCAAGUCGAGCGAACGGACGAGAAGCUUGCUUUUCUGAUGUUAGCGGCGGACGGGUGAGUAACACGUGGAUAACCUACCUAUAAGACUGGGAUAACUUCGGGAAACCGGAGCUAAUACUGGAUAAUAUUUUGAACCGCAUGGUUCAAAAGUGAAAGACGGUCUUGCUGUCACUUAUAGAUGGAUCCGCGCUGCAUUAGCUAGUUGGUAAGGUAACGGCUUACCAAGGCAACGAUGCAUAGCCGACCUGAGAGGGUGAUCGGCCACACUGGAACUGAGACACGGUCCAGACUCCUACGGGAGGCAGCAGUAGGGAAUCUUCCGCAAUGGGCGAAAGCCUGACGGAGCAACGCCGCGUGAGUGAUGAAGGUCUUCGGAUCGUAAAACUCUGCUAUUAGGGAAGAACAUAUGUGUAAGUAACUGUGCACAUCUUGACGGUACCUAAUCAGAAAGCCACGGCUAACUACGUG
rnacentral:rRNA from 1 species